rnacentral:rRNA from 1 species
ACGUUAAAGGGCCGCGGUAUUUUGACCGUGCAAAGGUAGCAUAAUCAUUAGUCUUUUAAUUGAAGGCUGGAAUGAAUGGUUUGACGAAAUAUUAACUGUCUCUUUAUAAAAAAAUAAAAUUUAACUUCUGAGUUAAAAGGCUUAGAUGAUUGUAAAAGACGAGAAGACCCUAUAGAUCUUUAUACACAUGUAUAUUUAUUUUGUUUAGGUGGGAUUUUAAUGAAUAUACUAGUGUAUUUUGUUGGGGUGACAUGAAGAUAAAAUUAACUCUUUAUUGAUAAUACAUUGAUGUAUGAAUAGUUGAUCCGUUAUUAACGAUUAUAAGAUAAAGUUACCUUAGGGAUAACAGCGUAAUUUUUUUUGAGAGUUCUUAUCGACAAAAAAGAUUGCGACCUCGA